UACGUAGGGGGCAAGCGUUGUCCGGAAUCAUUGGGCGUAAAGAGCGUGUAGGCGGUCCGGUAAGUCGGCUGUGAAAUCCCCGGGCUCAACCCGGGAACUGCGUCCGAUACUGGUUGGCUUGAAUCCGGGAGAGGGAUGCGGAAUUCCAGGUGUAGCGGUGAAAUGCGUAGAUAUCUGGAGGAACACCGGUGGCGAAGGCGGCAUCCUGGACCGGCAUUGACGCUGAGGCGCGAAAGCCAGGGGAGCAAACGGG
rnacentral:rRNA from 1 species